GGAGAUGCCUCCUUUUGGAGUUUUCCAGUGAGCCCAGGACCAGGCUGCUAACAGGACUUCCAUGGAAUGAGAAUGACUACUUCUAGAAGUUCUGCUUGCGUUGUUCUUAACGUCAAGAAGUUCCUUGCUAUAUAUGUAUACUGGUAUCUGGACUGGGGUUGGUUAUUUUUUAACCAGUUUUAUCAGACUGCCUGUUCUUUGUCUAGGCAAAGUUGUAUGAAAUUAUAGGUGUUGCUUUUCUGAUGCUGGGCUUGCUGUAUUGUGUAAUGAUGAAGUAAUAAGAAAAAAGAUAAAAAUAGACAGCCUUAAGAUAUUUAAUAAGUAAUAGUGGAUAAAUUUUGCAAGUAGUAAAAAGCUUAAGUUCUCAAUCUAUAGCUUCCCACAUAUUUUCAUAAACUGUCCAGGCAAACAUUUAUCAGAAAAAAGAUGUAGAAGUGUUAAUAUGUUCGUAGGUAGCUAUGAUCACUUGAAGGCAGCCUCUUUGCUCUGCUUUCACUGUCCUGGAGACAGAAGCUUCUCAAAGCUGUGGAUUUCAGAAGGAACUAAUUUGGUACUAAUGCUGUGCCAGAAGAGUUGGGGAUGAAAGACCUUAGAAGAUCCUCCAGAAAUGUCAUACCAUCAGCAUAUGAAGUUGUACCCCUGUGAGUGGGAGCAUGUCUCCAAACUGGGUCCUAAAGGAGCAGGUUGUGUUUCUGCCACGUGCAGCAAGGUGCUUUGCCAUCUUUCUCCUCCCUUCGCCCUUGUCGUGCUGGCAUUGGUGUCUGCUGUGUCUCACCAGUGUGCAAUGGGAGUUUUCAAUGACUGUCAAGAAGUGGGGGGCUUAAAUCUCCUGUUUUGCCACGUUGUUUCUGACUGUGUUUUGGUAGAAAACAGCUCACUUGUGAAUGAUACCCUCACGGCCUUGAUUUUUGAAGCUGAAAUUCAUUUCUUGCCAGCAGGACCUCCCAGUCAAGGAGUUACCUGUAUGCAUUAUUUUGAGAGGAUGAGAGACCCUGGUCAUGUCUGUAUUUUAAGACUCUAUGUGAGACUGAGUCAAAUUCCAUACAUUUUAAGUGCAGAAUUAUGAUUUGAGUCUGGUACUUACUCGCGUAGUAGUGAGUAAAUGUGCACGUGUUAAUUGUCAGAUGACAAUGUGAUUACAUGUUUUCUAGGUAGUUUUAAAAGUAUAACCACUGUGUUUUGGUUCUUAGAGAUAUCAGAACUUCAGCUAGCCAAUAUGGUCAGUUCAAGUUUCUCACCAGUAUAUUAUGUCAUAGGUUUAAGAGCCUUCUGGAACAUGAAGCAGGUUGGAGGGCUUGUCCCUCGUUGUCUGCUGGCUUGCGUUUUCCUCUGGGUCUGAGCUGUUUUCUAGGAAUGAAGCAUUGCUCAGAGCCCAUACUUUUAUGCACAGCACAAUGAUGCUGCAGUGGGGUUAAUUCCAUUAUCACUAGGGACUGAUGCGUACACGAAAUAGGUUCCUUUUACCCUUCUCACAAUACUACAUUAAGUUCAAGCUGAGUCACCUAUCUCCACAAACUGGUCAUGGGAUAAAGCAGGAGAAUGGCACAGUGCCUACGGAAUCAGAAUGGUUCCCCAUCUUUGUCUGCAGCAGAAAAGGCUCAGGGUGAGGCAGGAAGAGAGAACAGAUCCUGUAAGGCUACAGCAGACCAAGGCAGGGGGCUGAAAACCUUUCCAGACAGCGGUUGCCAGUCUGCCUGUUGCAGCUUGAAGAAGAAAAGCAUGCUGUGAAAACAAUUGGUGCAUUUGCUUUAGAUCUAAGUGACUCCAACUAGGUCGAUGCUUCAUGCUGAUGUGUUGAAAACAUUUAAAAAAUUUCUCAGAGUUUGAUUUCAACUGAAACAUUUCAGCAUGUCUAGCUCUCUGAAGUUGUUAUUUUUCACUAAUCUUGCAGACAACUGUUUUUCUUCCACCCUAACAAAUAGCAGUAGGGAAACUGGGCCUUUUGUCUAGAUAGAUUUGUUUUGAAUGAAGUUUUUUUUUUCUACAGGAGGUGGAGGUUUUUGCUUGUUUGUUUUAAAUAAACUGAGACUCUUGUAAAUUGACUUGAAAGGAGUAGUAGUUUAUUUCAUGAAAGGAAGAAGAGGUAAUCGCGCUUCUACAGAGUGUGAAUGGCUUUACUUAAACUGCUAGCGUUACUUGCAUUUGAAUUUUCAUUCAGAGGCAGACUAGAUAACUCAUAAGUACACUAACAGUAUUUUAUUUUAUUUAAAUCACUUGAUUCUUCUUUGUAAUAUCUUCAUAUUCAGUAUAACUGGCCUGAUUCUCUCACAGUUUUGGAUCAUGGAGCAAAUGAAACAUUGCAAAAAGAAACUAUCCUCAUCCAAAUCAGUGUUUAUUCAGC